CACUAACUACAUUACUAACUUGAAUUUUUUAGAGGUUGAUUGUUCAUCUUCUUGAGUAUCUAAGAAUUUUAUUAUUUUUUUCUUCUUUCAUUCCUGAAGCUCAGCUUCUAUUUAUUUCACUAUUUAUUAACUCUGUGAUUCAAAGUGAAUGAAGAGGGACAAGAGAAAGCAGGUUCCCAGAACCAUCCUCUGGGCUGGAUUUGAAUGUAGCCUUUAUAAUAAGAAGAAAUGUUGGAGCAAAGUAAGUGUGGGCAGAAUAUCAAAAUGGCUUCCUGCUGGAUUCUACUGUUUCCCAUCAUGGAGGAAUGAGGCCAGAGGAUGUGCUGAGCCAAGUUGUUUCCCACCCAAGAAACAAAAGAGCCCAUCAUCAGAAUCUGAUUCUUCAUCUGCUAAGUCUAUCCACUACUAAUGGAAAGUCGAUGGUUACUUUAUAUAUUUUUUGGAGGUCAAGUAAUAAAGAGCCAACUGCCUGUAAUUGUCUCCA
rnacentral:lncRNA from 1 species